rnacentral:rRNA from 1 species
GACGUAGGAGGCGAGCGUUAUCCGGAUUCACUGGGCGUAAAGGGCAAGUAGGCGGUUGUUCAAGUUGGGCGUGACAGCACUCGGCUUAACUGAGAGAGGUCGUCCAAUACUGAAUGACUAGAGGGCAGGAGAGGAAAGUGGAACUCCCGAUGUAGCGGUGGAAUGCUCAGAUAUCGGGAAGAACACCAGUGGCGAAGGCGGCUUUCUGGCCUGCACCUGACGCUGAGAGGCGAAAGCUAGGGUAGCGAACGGG